GACAAAUAUGAAUUCGGCCCUGAGGAAAUACGAGGAGAGAAAGGAAAAAGUGUACAAGCAGAGAAGUGAGAGAAUACGCAGAGGAGAGAGAGCACAUGAGGACAUCUUUAUCUCCAGUCAUCUGUACAGAGCAUGGGAGCACCAUCUUCUCUCAUGAUGAUGACUGACAGAUGCAUCAGGGGCAUUUGGACAGCUGGUAUUUCAUUACAAACUGAAAGAAUUCAUCUGUAGCAACUGGACAAAUAUUUGCAGACUGCCGCAUGAUUAGGAAACCUAAAUGACUGCAAUUAAAUAUCAGAUUUUAAAUAUUGUCAAGUGACUGUGUUUCCUGAUCAGUUGAAAAUGUGAGAUUUGGGCAGCUGACCUUCCAGUGCUAUCGAGAGGACCGAGUUUUCCACCAGCCAGUCGAGGAGCCGGUCCGUGUCGAUGGCGUUCUUCACCGUCUUUGACACCGUGCUCUCCUCUAUCAGCUUGGUGACCUGGAAUAGAACAGGGCCGUCAGCCAGACUGUGUUGAACCAAACCAGUAUUCCAUAAAACACUGCGUUCUCAGAUAGGUUUCAAUUUUCGACACAGUUUUCUGUCGCAACUCAAAGUGAGGCAAUGCAUGAGUCAUAAAUCAACUGCAUAGGUGGACAAAUCACUAACACAGGCUCCAGGGACAAGUCCAAGCUGUCCGUUAUUUAUUCACAGUUGCCCGAGAGAAUUAAGACAGCUCAUAGCUAAAAUGUUAACCAAAGACUUUUUCUUUCUUUUUGUGAAGGACAGAAAUGUGAAGUUUUUUCACUAGAGACAAUAGAAAAAAAAAAUUACAGCUACAUAAAGCUGCUUCCUGGCAGGGAUCCUGAUUUAUUUUCCUUACACUGUUUUACUGUUGCUUUUUAGUCUUUUUAGUCAGGUUAGAACACUAGAGCAUCGUAAUUAAAUAAUUACCAUACUUCCUGUAGUAAUCUGUAGUCAUACAGGUUGUGCGUUUAGUCAUGGUAUACUGUAUGACUGGACGGUUUCUUGCUGUUACCUUCUUUAGUAGCAAAAUGUAGAUUAAAAUGCAUUCCCUUCUA